rnacentral:rRNA from 1 species
UGGGGAAUAUUGGACAAUGGGCGAAAGCCUGAUCCAGCCAUGCCGCGUGUGUGACGAAGGCCUUAGGGUUGUAAAGCUCUUUUACCAGGGACGAUAAUGACGGUACCUGGAGAAUAAGCCCCGGCAAACUUCGUGCCAGCAGCCGCGGUAAUACGAAGGGGGCUAGCGUUGUUCGGAAUUACUGGGCGUAAAGCGCACGUAGGCGGAUUGUUAAGUCAGAGGUGAAAUCCCGGAGCUCAACUUCGGAACUGCCUUUGAUACUGGCAAUCUAGAGUCCGGAAGAGGUUAGUGGAAUUCCCAGUGUAGAGGUGAAAUUCGUAGAUAUUGGGAAGAACACCAGUGGCGAAGGCGGCUAACUGGUCCGGUACUGACGCUGAGGUGCGAAAGCGUGGGGAGCAAACAGGAUUAGAUACCCGAGUAGUCCCUGAGCGGGCUGGCAAGGCGCAU